rnacentral:rRNA from 1 species
AGAUUGAACGCUGGCGGAAUGCUUUACACAUGCAAGUCGAACGGCAGCACGGGGGUAACCCUGGUGGCGAGUGGCGAACGGGUGAGUAAUACAUCGGAACGUGCCCAGUCGUGGGGGAUAACGUAGCGAAAGCUACGCUAAUACCGCAUACGAACUCUGGUUGAAAGCGGGGGACUCGCAAGAGCCUCGCGCGAUUGGAGCGGCCGAUGGCAGAUUAGGUAGUUGGUGGGGUAAAAGGCUCACCAAGCCUGCGAUCUGUAGCUGGUCUGAGAGGACGACCAGCCACACUGGGACUGAGACACGGCCCAGACUCCUACGGGAGGCAGCAGUGGGAAUUUUGGACAAUGGGCGCAAGCCUGAUCCAGCCAUUCCGCGUGCAGGAUGAAGGCCCUCGGUUGUAAACUGCUUUUGUACGGAACGAAACGGUCCUGGUUAAUACCUGGGCUAAUGACGGUACCGUAAGAAUAAGCACGCUAACUACGUGCCAGCAGCCG